CCGGGGGAACUGAAACAUCUAAGUACCCCGAGGAAAAGAAAUCAACCGAGAUUCCCCCAGUAGCGGCGAGCGAACGGGGAGGAGCCCAGAGCCUGAAUCAGUGUGUGUGUUAGUGGAAGCGUCUGGAAAGGCGCGCGAUACAGGGUGACAGCCCCGUACACAAAAAUGCACAUGCUGUGAGCUCGAUGAGUAGGGCGGGACACGUGGUAUCCUGUCUGAAUAUGGGGGGACCAUCCUCCAAGGCUAAAUACUCCUGACUGACCGAUAGUGAACCAGUACCGUGAGGGAAAGGCGAAAAGAACCCCGGCGAGGGGAGUGAAAAAGAACCUGAAACCGUGUACGUACAAGCAGUGGGAGCACGCUUCGGCGUGUGACUGCGUACCUUUUGUAUAAUGGGUCAGCGACUUAUAUUCUGUAGCAAGGUUAACCGAAUAGGGGAGCCGAAGGGAAACCGAGUCUUAACUGGGCGUUAAGUUGCAGGGUAUAGACCCGAAACCCGGUGAUCUAGCCAUGGGCAGGUUGAAGGUUGGGUAACACUAACUGGAGGACCGAACCGACUAAUGUUGAAAAAUUAGCGGAUGACUUGUGGCUGGGGGUGAAAGGCCAAUCAAACCGGGAGAUAGCUGGUUCUCCCCGAAAGCUAUUUAGGUAGCGCCUCGUGAAUUCAUCUCCGGGGGUAGAGCACUGUUUCGGCAAGGGGGUCAUCCCGACUUACCAACCCGAUGCAAACUGCGAAUACCGGAGAAUGUUAUCACGGGAGACACACGGCGGGUGCUAACGUCCGUCGUGAAGAGGGAAACAACCCAGACCGCCAGCUAAGGUCCCAAAGUCAUGGUUAAGUGGGAAACGAUGUGGGAAGGCCCAGACAGCCAGGAUGUUGGCUUAGAAGCAGCCAUCAUUUAAAGAAAGCGUAAUAGCUCACUGGUCGAGUCGGCCUGCGCGGAAGAUGUAACGGGGCUAAACCAUGCACCGAAGCUGCGGCAGCGACGCUGAUGCGUUGUUGGGUAGGGGAGCGUUCUGUAAGCCUGUGAAGGUGUACUGUGAGGUAUGCUGGAGGUAUCAGAAGUGCGAAUGCUGACAUAAGUAACGAUAAAGCGGGUGAAAAGCCCGCUCGCCGGAAGACCAAGGGUUCCUGUCCAACGUUAAUCGGGGCAGGGUGAGUCGACCCCUAAGGCGAGGCCGAAAGGCGUAGUCGAUGGGAAACAGGUUAAUAUUCCUGUACUUGGUGUUACUGCGAAGGGGGGACGGAGAAGGCUAUGUUGGCCGGGCGACGGUUGUCCCGGUUUAAGCGUGUAGGCUGGUUUUCCAGGCAAAUCCGGAAAAUCAAGGCUGAGGCGUGAUGACGAGGCACUACGGUGCUGAAGCAACAAAUGCCCUGCUUCCAGGAAAAGCCUCUAAGCAUCAGGUAACAUCAAAUCGUACCCCAAACCGACACAGGUGGUCAGGUAGAGAAUACCAAGGCGCUUGAGAGAACUCGGGUGAAGGAACUAGGCAAAAUGGUGCCGUAACUUCGGGAGAAGGCACGCUGAUAUGUAGGUGAAGCGACUUGCUCGUGGAGCUGAAAUCAGUCGAAGAUACCAGCUGGCUGCAACUGUUUAUUAAAAACACAGCACUGUGCAAACACGAAAGUGGACGUAUACGGUGUGACGCCUGCCCGGUGCCGGAAGGUUAAUUGAUGGGGUCAGCGCAAGCGAAGCUCUUGAUCGAAGCCCCGGUAAACGGCGGCCGUAACUAUAACGGUCCUAAGGUAGCGAAAUUCCUUGUCGGGUAAGUUCCGACCUGCACGAAUGGCGUAAUGAUGGCCAGGCUGUCUCCACCCGAGACUCAGUGAAAUUGAACUCGCUGUGAAGAUGCAGUGUACCCGCGGCAAGACGGAAAGACCCCGUGAACCUUUACUAUAGCUUGACACUGAACAUUGAGCCUUGAUGUGUAGGAUAGGUGGGAGGCUUUGAAGUGUGGACGCCAGUCUGCAUGGAGCCGACCUUGAAAUACCACCCUUUAAUGUUUGAUGUUCUAACGUUGACCCGUAAUCCGGGUUGCGGACAGUGUCUGGUGGGUAGUUUGACUGGGGCGGUCUCCUCCUAAAGAGUAACGGAGGAGCACGAAGGUUGGCUAAUCCUGGUCGGACAUCAGGAGGUUAGUGCAAUGGCAUAAGCCAGCUUGACUGCGAGCGUGACGGCGCGAGCAGGUGCGAAAGCAGGUCAUAGUGAUCCGGUGGUUCUGAAUGGAAGGGCCAUCGCUCAACGGAUAAAAG
rnacentral:rRNA from 1 species